GCUUCAGCGUGUCCACCACGUCCGCCAGGCUCCCCUUGCGGCGUUCCGGGGUCCCCAAGGCCAAGCCGGCGCCCGUCGCCAUCUGCUCGCCGCGAUCCCGGGAAGAGUCGUCGGGCUUGGGUGGCGAGGUGGAGCUGGCCCGCCAACGCAGCGUUGUCCCAAGAGUCACCGUCUGCUCGCUUCUCUCUGAUUGGCUGCGGCUGCUCGGGCGGGGAAGGUGACGGCGUCUCCUUGGGGCCGUGGUCGUCCAGCCAGGCCGCGUUGGUGUUGCUGCAGCCGAGCGCCCCCUCUCCCUCGGGCGCUGCGUGAAACGGAGGCGAUGCUCGCAUGGAAGACAUCAUUCUGGGAAUGGAGAGGGGGAGGCCUUAUAUGGAUAAAAUACUUUUUUAAAUAAUAGUCAACAAUGUUGUCGGUUUAUUAAACUUAACACAAAAACAA